rnacentral:misc_RNA from 1 species
GACAGAGGGUGCAAACGUUGCUCGGAAUCACUGGGCGUAAAGGGCGUGUAGGCGGGAAUGCAAGUCGGGCGUGAAAGCCCCAGGCUCAACCUGGGAACUGCACCCGAAACUGCGUUUCUUGAGUGCUGGAGAGGAAAGCGGAAUACCUGGUGUAGAGGUGAAAUUCGUAGAUAUCAGGUGGAACACCAGUGGCGAAGGCGGCUUUCUGGACAGUAACUGACGCUGAGACGCGAAAGCGUGGGGAGCAAACAGG